AAUCAUCUCUAUGCGAACGAUAUGAGGUAAUACAGUUGUUAGGAAGCUAGAUCUAACCAUUCCACAAUGUACGAACAGUAGUAGCCCCUUAUCCUUGCUGUCACUUUCCAUGGUUUCAGCUACCAGUGGUCAACCGCAUUCCAAAAAUUUAAAUGGAAAAUUCCAGAAAUACACAAUUCAUAAGUUUUAAAUUGCACACUAUUCUGGGUAGCGUGAAGAAAUCUCAUAUGGUUCCAUUCAGAACAUGAAUCAUCCCUUUGUCCAACAUCUCCACACUAUAGACACGACCUGCCUGAUAGUCACUUAGGCCUGAGUCCUAACAGGAAUCUCGUUCUGACGGAGCUGCUGUAUAUGCGCACGUGUUUGUGUGUGUGUGCUCACACCGGCACACAGAAGUGGAGUAGGGAUCCUCAUUUAUCCACCCACAGACUUCUCUGGUAAAACAAGAGGGCUGGAUUAUCAGGGUUUUCAAGACCUCAGAGUUUUUGAGGGCUCCCGCAGGGAUAGCUCCCCCUGUGUCUUCCCCAUUCCCCCUAUAACCAGAGCAGCACUCUAUACCAGGGGUGUCCAAUCUUUUGGUUUUCCUGGGCCACAUUGGAAGAAUUGUCAUGGGCCACACAUAAAAUACACUAACAAUAGCUGAUAAACUAAAAAAAAAAAAUCACAAAAAAACCUCAUGUUUUAAGAACAUUUACAAAUUCUGUGUUGGCCACAUUCCAAGCCAUCCUGGGCCAUGGGUUGGACAAGCUUGCUCUGUACUUUGCUUAUGAGUUGAGAUUACCUAUAAAAUUCCAUCCUACAUUUGCAAACUUGAACAAGAAAGGCUCCAAGUCACUGGGCUGGAGCUCUGUUCUUGUCCAGGCCCUGGUUCCUGGGUUCUGUGGUUCUGUAAGCGGAAACGGCAGCUGGGGCCUGGAGGCCUGGAUAUAGCUGAGUAGGGAGCACUCGUGUGGGGCUAAAUGAAUGCAGAUGAAGGAUCUGGAUAGUCUGGGACCCUACAUGUCUUCCUUCUUUGCCUCCUUCCCAGGGACGCACUCUCUGAGAUAUUUUCUGGGCGUUUCGGAUCCUGGCCAUGGGGUCCCUGAAUUUAUUUCAGUUGGGUAUGUGGACUCACAGCCUAUCACCACAUAUGACAGUGUCACUUGGCAGAAGGAGCCGCGGGCCCCAUGGAUGGCAGAGAACCUCGCGCCUGAUCACUGGGAGAGGUACACUCAGCUGCUGAGGGGCUGGCAGCAGACGUUCAAGGUGGAACUGAAGCGCCUGCAGAGGCACUACAAUCACUCAGGGUCUCACACUUACCAGAGAAUGAUUGGCUGUGAGCUGCUGGAGGACGGAAGCACCACAGGAUUUCUGCAGUAUGCAUAUGACGGGCAGAUUUCCUGAUCUUCAAUAAAGACAGCCUCUCCUGGCUGGCUGUAGAUAAUGUGGCUCACACCGUCAAGCGGGCAUGGGAGGCCAAUCAGCAUGAGUUGCAAUAUCAAAAGAAUUGGCUGGAAAAAGAAUGUAUUGCCUGGCUAAAGAGAUUCCAUAGCCCCAGCCUCUCUCUCUCCUCCAGCUCUCUGGUCUUUUUUGAGGAUGCUCAUUGCAGUGGCCAAAACCAACCAGAGGCCGGGGGCUCUGGAAGUGCAGUCUGAUGCGUAUAGCCUCCUGGGGCAUGGAAGGGCAGAGAUGAGAUGAGAUGGGGGCUCACAGGGAGAGCCUAUGGGGAAGACACCCUACAAAGAACAGGUAAAGAGAGGAGGCCUUGUUCCUGCAUUGCCUGAACAACUGUUUCUGUACAUAACUCCUCUGAUGUAGGUUACAUCCACCCUAUCCUGAAGCCAUCUCUUUAGUUGGCCUGUUGUGAUCUCAUGGCUAGAGCCCCCCACGAACUUUCUCUGGUUACUUCUGGGUAGCAUCUUGACAAGAUUUGACAGUUCCCCUUUUCUUGACAGAGUACCUCCAAGGGCACCUUGUUUUUGGGGAUCCAUUGAGGCAAAUUCUUGCGUCAAUGAUAAGCUGGGAAAUUCUUUGGGAGGUGGAGCAAUUCUUACAAAUUGUUUAGUUAACAAAGGGCUCACACACCACCAGUAGGACUGAAAAUCUGGAUUUACCAGGACAAACAGAGGAUCUCUGCUUUACUAACAGCUUAAUGACAAGAUUCCUUCCAGCAAAGAGCUCUUCUUAUACCUUAAAGAUACGAUUCAAUUGGUCAACUUUUAGUUAAUACAGAACUUUUCGUGUAUGAUCUUAUUAUUCAAAAUGCAUUACCCCUGCAUCAUGCUACAGGAAAUACCUAGACACAGGUGCCUUUCCUCACAGGAGUAGGAGGGGUUUUCUCAGUUGUGGCCAAUAGCAGGGGAGGUAUCUGGCCACACUUAUGAAUAUGGAGCAUCUGCCAAAAGUACAGGCUUUGGAGGCAGAUGACUGGAGUCUGAGCUUUGACUCUCCCAUUCCCUAGCUGAAAAACUAUCUCUUAAUGGUUGCAGGUAACAGAAACCUAUGUAAACCGGCUCAAGCACAAAGUGGGAUGCUAUUUUAAAGGUGGGAAUCAGGGCAGUGUGGGGACCUGAGAGAUCAAAACCAAGAUGUGAAUGAUUUUAUCCAUGAGGUAGGGACGUGGCUGCCAGCACAAAGCUCGUAUCCUCCACACAUCACCACUCUAUAAGAAUGGGCGUCUCUCUCCUGGCUCUGGUUACUACAAGGAAAAGGAAGUCACAGGAGGACUCUGACGUGCGUUAGAUCAUGUGGCACCUCUGGGCCGAAUCACCAAGACCAUCAGGAUAAGCCUCUAAGACAAGCCAUAGCUAACAGCCCUGGCAAGAACUAAAUGGUACACUCAAUAUGGUUUAAAUGAAUUCAACAAAGACAGCAUCUGUAGGGGGAUAAUCAGGACUGAGGAAACCAGUAUGGGAUGGUGAAGUGUCCAGAGAUGUGUCACAGAGGGAAGCAUUACCUCCACCAGAGGUGAAGGGUAAAAGAGAAUACUGUUAUCAUAGUUCAGCAAGAGCUGCUCCCCAGGCAGAGGAUGCUCCUUGUGAGAGCUGUGACCGUGGCCCCCGGUGGGACUGUAGUGAGGUGGGUUGGGGAAUGAAGCCCCAAACUCUCUCUCCUCCAGCUCUCUGGUCUUUUUUGAGGAUGCUCAUUGCAAUGGCCGAACCCAACCAGAGGCCGGGGGCUCUGGAAGUGCAGUCUGAUGCGUACAGCCUCCUGGGGCACGGAAGGGCAGAGAUGAGAUUAGCUGGGGACUCACAGGGAGAGCCCAACCAGCACACACACUGUUUUAGGCUAGGGCUGGGCAGGAGGAUUAAGAUUGGUGCCGCUCAACACAAGCACAUGUUGGAAUGGGGUAGGGUCAUUUUCCAAAAUACGCUGUGUUUGGCAGAAGGGGUUCCUGCAGUUAGAAAAAGUGAGGCUAACAGAUGGUAGGCCAAAAAAGCAAUAAACUUGAGUGAAAUCAACAGGUAUGAUAAAGCCUACCCUACAGAAAUGGAUAAGAAAAAUGUGCAUAAAAGCACUGUGUAAACUGUAGGGCUCUGUUCCCUUUUCAUGAGGCCAUCAGUCAUACUGGAUUAGGGGCCCACCCUACUACUGCAGGAUGACCUCACCUUCCCAAAUUAUAUCAACCCUAUUUCCAGAGAAGGCCACAUUCUGAGGUCCUGGGGGUUACAACUUCAUGAAUUUUUGCAGGGGGAAACAAUUCAACUCCUAAUACAUCUCUACCCAACCUCUGUAGGUUCCCUCAAUCCACCAAAACUUUCUGGCUCCACUGGAUUAUCUAGCAGUUAGGAAACCAAGAUCAUUAAACGAAUUCACCACAGCUACAGUGAGACUGACUACCUUAGCUUACCUCUGUGAGAGGAGUUAAGCCAAGGGAAUCUGUGGAAUUUUGGAGGGUUUGGGGGCACUUGGGGGCAGGCGGCAAAGUCCUUCCUUUAAAUCCCAACACUUAGUUCUCUUCCAUUUAUAAGACUCGCUCCUCCAUCCCAACUCCUGCACCACAGGACAAGGAAGUGUUCUUGGCCUUCAACUUUCAUCCCUGAUGGUGAAAGCAGUUGCUCCUGAUCUAUUUGCCUACCAGCUUCUCCUCUGGAGCCUGAGGCAUCUGAUGCCUGCCCAGCUGGUUCUCAGUAAGAAGGUCAAGUUCAACUAGAGGGGAGAUCCUGAUGCCUUUCAGUAGUUAAAUAUGAGUUCAGACCCCGGGGUCUGGACAGAAGAUUUGGAGUCCCACCAGCUGGGCGUAAGUGGCUCAUACCUGUAAUCCCAGCACUUGGGGAGGCUGAGGCGGGUGGAUCACUUGAGGUCAGGAGUUCGAGACCAACCUGGCCAACAAGGUCUCAUCUCUACCAAAAAUACAAAAAUUAGCCUGGCUUGGUGGCACGGACCUGUAGUCCCAGCUACUAGGCAGGAGGCUGAAGCACGAGUAUUACUUGAGCCUGGGAGUCGGAGGUUGCAGUGAGCCGAGAUUACACCAUUGCACUUUGGCCUGGGCGACAGAGUGAGACUCUACCUCAAAAAAAAAAAAAAAAAAAA